AAAGAAGAAUUGAGAAGAGAAAUAGAGAGAACCGAAGAAAUUAGAGGAAGAAUAGAUAGAAAGAGACUUAGAAAGGGAAGAAUUGAAGACAGAAGAGAUAUUAUUUCAGAUAAUUCUUGAAAUGCCUUUCUACAGAGUAUCUUCUGCCUUUAUUUAGCCGUUAUUAGGAGAAGAGCAACUGCCUCAAACAAUUCUAACCACUUCAAAGUAGUUACAACUAACUCAGCUAUUGUUUACAACAGAUAACCGCCACAAACAGAUUCUUAAACCUAUUUCCCGCCUUUCUCAACAAUUCUGCUCAUAAUCUUAUCUAACUACACAGCUUCCAUACUUCCUUCUCCUAUACAGA
rnacentral:misc_RNA from 1 species